rnacentral:rRNA from 1 species
GGUUGUCGUCAGCUCGUGCCGUGAGGUGUCGGGUUAAGUCCCGCAACGAGCGCAACCCUUGUCCUUAGUUGCCAGCAUUAAGUUGGGCACUCUAAGGAGACUGCCGGUGUUAAACCGGAGGAAGGUGGGGAUGACGUCAAGUCCUCAUGGCCCUUAUGUCCAGGGCUACACACGUGCUACAAUGGCCGGUACAAAGGGCUGCAAUACCGCAAGGUGGAGCGAACCCCAAAAGCCGGUCUCAGUUCGGAUUGGAGUCUGCAACUCGACUCCAUGAAGUUGGAAUCGCUAGUAAUCGCGGAUCAGCAUGCCGCGGUGAAUACGUUCCCGGGCCUU